GGGUUGUGAGGUUAAGCGACUAAGCGUACACGGUGGAUGCCCUGGCAGUCAGAGGCGAUGAAGGACGUGCUAAUCUGCGAUAAGCGUCGGUAAGGUGAUAUGAACCGUUAUAACCGGCGAUUUCCGAAUGGGGAAACCCAGUGUGUUUCGACACACUAUCAUUAACUGAAUCCAUAGGUUAAUGAGGCGAACCGGGGGAACUGAAACAUCUAAGUACCCCGAGGAAAAGAAAUCAACCGAGAUUCCCCCAGUAGCGGCGAGCGAACGGGGAGCAGCCCAGAGCCUGAAUCAGUGUGUGUGUUAGUGGAAGCGUCUGGAAAGGCGCGCGAUACAGGGUGACAGCCCCGUACACAAAAAUGCACAUAUUGUGAGCUCGAUGAGUAGGGCGGGACACGUGGUAUCCUGUCUGAAUAUGGGGGGACCAUCCUCCAAGGCUAAAUACUCCUGACUGACCGAUAGUGAACCAGUACCGUGAGGGAAAGGCGAAAAGAACCCCGGCGAGGGGAGUGAAAAAGAACCUGAAACCGUGUACGUACAAGCAGUGGGAGCACGCUUCGGCGUGUGACUGCGUACCUUUUGUAUAAUGGGUCAGCGACUUAUAUUCUGUAGCAAGGUUAACCGAAUAGGGGAGCCGAAGGGAAACCGAGUCUUAACUGGGCGUUAAGUUGCAGGGUAUAGACCCGAAACCCGGUGAUCUAGCCAUGGGCAGGUUGAAGGUUGGGUAACACUAACUGGAGGACCGAACCGACUAAUGUUGAAAAAUUAGCGGAUGACUUGUGGCUGGGGGUGAAAGGCCAAUCAAACCGGGAGAUAGCUGGUUCUCCCCGAAAGCUAUUUAGGUAGCGCCUCGUGAAUUCAUCUCCGGGGGUAGAGCACUGUUUCGGCAAGGGGGUCAUCCCGACUUACCAACCCGAUGCAAACUGCGAAUACCGGAGAAUGUUAUCACGGGAGACACACGGCGGGUGCUAACGUCCGUCGUGAAGAGGGAAACAACCCAGACCGCCAGCUAAGGUCCCAAAGUCAUGGUUAAGUGGGAAACGAUGUGGGAAGGCCCAGACAGCCAGGAUGUUGGCUUAGAAGCAGCCAUCAUUUAAAGAAAGCGUAAUAGCUCACUGGUCGAGUCGGCCUGCGCGGAAGAUGUAACGGGGCUAAACCAUGCACCGAAGCUGCGGCAGCGACGCUUAUGCGUUGUUGGGUAGGGGAGCGUUCUGUAAGCCUGUGAAGGUGUGCUGUGAGGCAUGCUGGAGGUAUCAGAAGUGCGAAUGCUGACAUAAGUAACGAUAAAGCGGGUGAAAAGCCCGCUCGCCGGAAGACCAAGGGUUCCUGUCCAACGUUAAUCGGGGCAGGGUGAGUCGACCCCUAAGGCGAGGCCGAAAGGCGUAGUCGAUGGGAAACAGGUUAAUAUUCCUGUACUUGGUGUUACUGCGAAGGGGGGACGGAGAAGGCUAUGUUGGCCGGGCGACGGUUGUCCCGGUUUAAGCGUGUAGGCUGGUUUUCCAGGCAAAUCCGGAAAACUAAGGCUGAGGCGUGAUGACGAGGCACUACGGUGCUGAAGCGACAAAUGCCCUGCUUCCAGGAAAAGCCUCUAAGCAUCAGGUAACAUCAAAUCGUACCCCAAACCGACACAGGUGGUCAGGUAGAGAAUACCAAGGCGCUUGAGAGAACUCGGGUGAAGGAACUAGGCAAAAUGGUGCCGUAACUUCGGGAGAAGGCACGCUGAUAUGUAGGUGAAGCGACUUGCUCGUGGAGCUGAAAUCAGUCGAAGAUACCAGCUGGCUGCAACUGUUUAUUAAAAACACAGCACUGUGCAAACACGAAAGUGGACGUAUACGGUGUGACGCCUGCCCGGUGCCGGAAGGUUAAUUGAUGGGGUUAGCGGUAACGCGAAGCUCUUGAUCGAAGCCCCGGUAAACGGCGGCCGUAACUAUAACGGUCCUAAGGUAGCGAAAUUCCUUGUCGGGUAAGUUCCGACCUGCACGAAUGGCGUAAUGAUGGCCAGGCUGUCUCCACCCGAGACUCAGUGAAAUUGAACUCGCUGUGAAGAUGCAGUGUACCCGCGGCAAGACGGAAAGACCCCGUGAACCUUUACUAUAGCUUGACACUGAACAUUGAGCCUUGAUGUGUAGGAUAGGUGGGAGGCUUUGAAGUGUGGACGCCAGUCUGCAUGGAGCCGACCUUGAAAUACCACCCUUUAAUGUUUGAUGUUCUAACGUGGACCCGUAAUCCGGGUUGCGGACAGUGUCUGGUGGGUAGUUUGACUGGGGCGGUCUCCUCCUAAAGAGUAACGGAGGAGCACGAAGGUUGGCUAAUCCUGGUCGGACAUCAGGAGGUUAGUGCAAUGGCAUAAGCCAGCUUGACUGCGAGCGUGACGGCGCGAGCAGGUGCGAAAGCAGGUCAUAGUGAUCCGGUGGUUCUGAAUGGAAGGGCCAUCGCUCAACGGAUAAAAGGUACUCCGGGGAUAACAGGCUGAUACCGCCCAAGAGUUCAUAUCGACGGCGGUGUUUGGCACCUCGAUGUCGGCUCAUCACAUCCUGGGGCUGAAGUAGGUCCCAAGGGUAUGGCUGUUCGCCAUUUAAAGUGGUACGCGAGCUGGGUUUAGAACGUCGUGAGACAGUUCGGUCCCUAUCUGCCGUGGGCGCUGGAGAACUGAGGGGGGCUGCUCCUAGUACGAGAGGACCGGAGUGGACGCAUCACUGGUGUUCGGGUUGUCAUGCCAAUGGCACUGCCCGGUAGCUAAAUGCGGAAGAGAUAAGUGCUGAAAGCAUCUAAGCACGAAACUUGCCCCGAGAUGAGUUCUCCCUGACCCUUUAAGGGUCCUGAAGGAACGUUGAAGACGACGACGUUGAUAGGCCGGGUGUGUAAGCGCAGCGAUGCGUUGAGCUAACCGGUACUAAUGAACCGUGAGGCUUAACCUUACAACGCCGAAG
rnacentral:rRNA from 1 species